GAUGAACGCUGGCGGCGUGCCUAAUACAUGCAAGUCGAGCGACCAGACGAGGAGCUUGCUCCUCUGACGUUAGCGGCGGACGGGUGAGUAACACGUGGAUAACCUACCUAUAAUACUGGGAUAACUUCGGGAAACCGGAGCUAAUACCGGAUAAUAUAUUGAACCGCAUGGUUCAAUAGUGAAAGACGGUUUUGCUGUCACUUAUAGAUGGAUCCGCGCCGCAUUAGCUAGUUGGUAAGGUAACGGCUUGCCAAGGCAACGAUGCGUAGCCGACCUGAGAGGGUGAUCGGCCACACUGGAACUGAGACACGGUCCAGACUCCUACGGGAGGCAGCAGUAGGGAAUCUUCCGCAAUGGGCGAAAGCUUGACGGAGCAACGCCGCGUGAGUGAUGAAGGUCUUCGGAUCGUAAAACUCUGUUAUUAGGGAAGAACAAAUGUGUAAGUAACUAUGCACGUCUUGACGGUACCUAAUCAGAAAGCCACGGCUAACUACGUG
rnacentral:rRNA from 1 species